AAAGAACUUUAGUAAAGAUCUUAGGACCUUCAUGAAUGAAUUCACAACCAUUUAAAAGAAGCUCUCCACAAACUCUAGCCACAGGUUAAGACCCUUUAACCAUUAAGAGACAAGGAAAAAAACAAAAACAAAAACCAAACAAACACCAUGUGAUUCUUCUAUUCAGAUCAAAAUAAAUCUAAUGUGACCAAUACAGGUCCAGAGUAAUUUGUAAAAUCUAUGUGUAGCUUCAAACAUUUUUGAGUAACCAUUAGGUAACAGUCAAGAGCUGAUAAGCCACAUGACUUCUGAAAUUCUCUUAGUGAAGUGAGUUGACAAAGGAGACCAGAUAAAACUGCCUGUGAAAUGAUGCAUUAGAAAACUGGGGAGACAGGAGAACAGACAGACCUGUUCCAGAGCUGAGAGUAGACCAAAUAGCUUCAUUGUGAGGUGACCCAAGAACGUCAUCUGGGCUGAGAGGGACUACGCGGUUCAGAGGCCAUACCGGCUACGCAGAAAACCUGUGGAUUGCUCUUGACUACUUAAACCAAUCCCAAAGAAGGUUUCAGAAGACAGAGAAAAUUGAAACAACAAUAUGUGAAGAAAGCUAUGCACAGAGCAAGGCAUUUUGUACUCUUGGAGAAAGCUGCAGUAGUUAUCCAGCAUAGAAAAUGCAGAAGAAUGCUGGGAGAUGCUGAAGGAUGGUGUUAAGACAUCACUAGAAGGCAGCAGACAGAAGGCAAUGGUGUUUGCUGUGCAGGAGCUGAUCGCCCUCCUCCUUCAGGUCAAGUUCUAACAUGACUUAAGGGCUGCAGGACACCACAAAUGUCUUCCACACCUCCUCCAUCCCCAUCCUCGCCGCAGCUGCAAGAAGAUGAUCAGAUGCUUGGAGACACAUACUAAAAUGCUUUGUUUCUUUGCAUUAACAGUGUGUUGGAGACUGUCUUACAGGUUAGAAUCAGAUUCUCCAUACACAGGGAGAGCCCAGCAUAUGAAUUGCAACAAUGGAAAGUAGGGGACAUAUAUUCAGGAAAACCCACCCCUACAUAAGUUUUUUCUGGAAAAAGCAUGGGGACAGGCAUUUUGUAAUGGUGCACAAGUAACUCCAAAAUAUUCCAAGGCUGUGAGGGGACUGUCUCUCUGUGCUAGCUAAAAUGACUGAUGCCAAGCUCA